UGAUCAUUAACCAUGACCAAGUUAGCCAUCUCAUUUUUAUUUUCACAGAUUAUGUUAGGAGGAAACCCACAAAAGGCCAGAUUAACAUUUCAAAAUGUAUUGGAAAGUAAUGAAGGGAAACUGAUUCAGUUAGCAACGCUAAAUAAAACAGACAAUUCAUACAGAUGCUUUUCCUGUAAAAUAUUAAAUAAACACUCAAAAAUGGCAACUUUUUCAAAUUUAAUAAACCAACCCCUAAUUCCUUUUCUCUGAGCAAAGUUUCUUCUUAUCAAAGCUCCAGCUUUCAUGCGCAAAUUCUUCCUGGUCAAAACCACAUACUAUUUAGAAGACUUGGGUGUUAAAUGAAAUAAGAAAUGAUUUUUUGCUUCUCCCUCUUUCUUCUUCUAGCCCAAAAGCCUAAAUAUAUAAG
rnacentral:lncRNA from 1 species